rnacentral:rRNA from 1 species
CAGUAGCCACGGUAAUACGAAGGGGGCUAGCGUUGCUCGGAAUUACUGGGCGUAAAGGGAGCGUAGGCGGACAUUUAAGUCAGGGGUGAAAUCCCAGAGCUCAACUCUGGAACUGCCUUUGAUACUGGGUGUCUUGAGUGUGAUAGAGGUAUGUGGAACUCCGAGUGUAGAGGUGAAAUUCGUAGAUAUUCGGAAGAACACCAGUGGCGAAGGCGACAUACUGGAUCAUUACUGACGCUGAGGCUCGAAAGCGUGGGGAGCAAACAGGAUUAGAUACCCGAGUAGUCCCUGUCUCUUAUAA